rnacentral:sRNA from 1 species
UUAGACCAAGCUAGCCUCCACUCACAGAGAUCUGCCUGCCUGAGAGUUGGGGUUAAAGGUGUGUACUACUACACCCAGUCCUGGCCUUUAUAAUGUCAGUUCAGGCGGCCUCAGGCCUCAAGAUGCUCUGGGACACUCAUCCAGUUUCAUUGACCCUGCUCAUCUCUCUCUUCCCCAAAUAGUCAAAGUAGAAGACAGUAGGAAUUCUCUGGAGAGAUGGGAAAGGGCCAGUCUGUAUUUUAAAUCCUAUAAAGUGGCUUGCAAUUUUUAUUAUCUUUAUUCUGUCUAAAUAUUUUCUAACUCAAAUAAGUAGUGAUCAAAUACUUUUAAUUUACAAACUACAAUUAUAAUUUACAAAGCAUGAAUCAGAACACAAACAGAAGAACUAUAUAGCUGGUGACUGAUUCUUGAGUGUGAGUGGGUAGGAACUUCGGUUUUUCCCUCUUUGCCUCUGCUGCCUUUCUAGCACAUAGUAGGAAAUGCUGAAUGGGCCACGAGUGAAGGAAAUGGUGUUUGGUGAGGUGAUUCUCAGUAGCGGUCUGGCCUGUCAGUCAAGUCUGUUGACCCCACCUCCGUUUUUGAAGUUGCAGACACUUCUGAUUAGUACUCUAUAUUCUCUUCAGAUGAUCGCAGGUCUGGAGUCACUACUGCUGUCUGUCAUGGUCUACCGGAAACCUAGAGCUACAGAAGGUGCUGAAGUUCCUUGUGGUAACAAACUACUGAGAGCUGUGGUAGCCUUCCAGAACAAUGUGCUGUGGAGCCACUGCAGACCGCAGUCCUGUGUGGGUGAGAGGUGACUGCCUGGAAACCCUUCUCCAGACUUGCUUUGGCAUUGCUGAGUUACAUCACAGUCAUUGGAUAUGGAGUUAGGGCUUUUCAUAUGCUACACAGGAGUGUGAUAUUUCAGCUGCAUGAACCCUCUUACUGGGACCCAGUGUGUUCUUUACCUUACCACAGAGUCUGUGAAAAGGUUUCUGACAGGAAGUACCUGCUGAUUGGCUUCCCUUGUGCUGCUGCAGUCAACAGAGUCUGGGGUGCCUUCUCAUUAAGACUCGAGUCUUUUCCCUGUAUGUAGCAUUCUUAGUUGAGAACUUCCAUUUCUUAGUGCACGGUACCCACGGCAGAUUAGGAACUUCCCAAAAGCUUGACAGAACCCACUCGCAGACCCUCCCUUUGACCACCUGACAGCUGCCAUUUGUUCUCUGCCAUUUCUUAGACUUCUUCUCUACCCCCUAAAGCUGGGCUGGCCUGGAUGAUUCCUUGCCACAGCUCUGUGCCUUGUGUUUGUGUGGCUAUCCCACACCUAGCCAUGUGCUUGGGGCAUGGCACAAGUUGUGUCUAAGGAGCGAUUACCGUUGCUAGAUAGGUAAGAAAGUGAACACAUGGAGAUGGGGGAGUGGUGGAGUGGUGGACAGUUGUCUGAGCCCAGAACCAGCUGCAAGGACACUACCAACCUGAGAUGUGGGGAGAGGCCUGCGUGCGUGAGGCGGUGGGAUGGCCCUCCUGUGCUCUCCACCUUAACUGCAGGUUGGGAGGAUUACAGAACUAAAGAAGUAGCUGCAGGCUGUAUGACAGUAGACAGUGGGUCAAGGGUCCGCGUUUACAUACGUCUCCUUUGCCUCUCACUCAGAGACUUCCCGACCAUCCCUCAUUGUACUUUGGAAUGUAAGAGGAUUCUUGCCAAAGAGGGGUUUCUCGUAUUCCCAGGGAUGACAGGGUUCCUUGCACUUUAUGAAGUGUUUGGUCUCACUUUGAGGUUUGGUUUUGAGCACUAAAGUCUGUAGGUCAGUUUAUAUAUUUAGUAGGAGAACCCAGUUUUUAAAUCAAUAUGAUUCAGUUAAGACACUGUUGGAAUCAAUGAGGAGUCUGAUGUGGACAUCCAGCUCAACAACCAGCACAUGAUGAUCCGGGGAGAGAACAUGUGCAAAAUCCUGAAAGCACGGUCCAUGGUCACCAGGUGGAAGGUGGGGCCACACUCUUCAAGCUUGACUAUUUUGGGGAAGAAGCAUUUUUGACCCCGUCCUCACAGCUGUGCCUGAGACCUGCCUUCCAGCCCUGGGAGACGUCUUUUGUAGAGCCCCGUCUUACAGGGCUCAACAGUCCAGGACACGAAGGCUGAGUUCACUCACGUGGACCUCCUGAACCAUCUAGGGGACCUGGUGUGUGACGUGGUGGCCAGAGUCUUGAAGUCACCAGUGGCAAGCACAGUGUAUGACCUUAACCCGAAAUUUAAAGCCCCCAAACGGCCUUUCUGGCGGAUGAACUAUUUGGAUACCAUUGAGUGGCUAAGGGAGCAUGAUGUAAAGAAAGAAGACAGGACGUCCUAUGAGUUCAGAGAGAGACUGAUGACAGACGCCAUUAAUGAACCAAUCCUGCUGUGUCGAUUUCCUGUGGAGAUCAAGCCCUUCUGUAUGCAGCGCUGUCCUGAGGAUCAUGUGUGUAGCAUGUCUGCAUGUAGAAUAGGCUCCAAGUUGUUAAUACAUGUGUGUAACAUGUCUGUAUGUAGGAUGGGACUCCUUUGUUAAGCGUUUCUACAGACACAGUUAUAGUUCACGGUCUAAAUGGUUCACAACCAUAGUAAGUGUGAGAGCAUAUUAUCCUGAUUAUCUCUUUCCAGUGCUAUGGCUAGAGGGCUGCUAUAAUACUGUUCACCUGGCCUGUCCCUGCAUGGGGACAGUGGGCAGCAAGCCCUCAGUGGUUGGUAGCAGGCCAGUCCCCAAGGAGAAGAGCAAGAAUGACAACGGAGAUGGUUCUGUGAAAGGGGAGGAGUCCUGACCUCAUGACCCUAGCACUCUGAUUUGACAGUUCGGAACCCUUGUCCCCUGCCUCUCAGUUUCUCAGACAGUGUCCCAACAAUUGUUGUUUCAGAAGCACUGGGCCCUGGGGUAGAAGGUCAGGUGUUUUGAACAGUAGGAAUUUCUGAAUAAAGUCUAAGAAAUCAUUUAAAUGUAUUUUUUAAUCACAGUGAUUUAUAGACACUUUAGUAUGAAGAGAAACUUCCUUGUGUUGUUAAUUUAGCCUUCCUUAAUUCUGUCUCUUUUGUGCAUCUUAAAAUGUUUAUGAGCAUAUGUCAGACAGUUACUUACUUCAUGAGAAAUGACUUGAACCUGGAUAUGGCCACCAUCGUGUUAGGUAAGCUUAGCUAAACAAGCAUGAAAAGCAUUGUCUGUCACUGAGAAUCCUCAGAGGAAAGGACUUCUUUCCACCCGGGAGCUCACCAGACCUGUAGCUACUGAAGUCUUAGGACUGCAGGGCAAGCAUUCACAGACUUAUUCUCUUAGCACUGUGUGUGGAUUGCUAGGAAGUCAUCAUUGAGGAGAAAGAAGGCUGACGGUGGACCAGGGCUGUGACGUCCUCAGUGUCUUCCAGAAGUCCAUGGCCAAGAGUUUAGUCCUCAGCCUGGAGUUUACUCUCAGAAGGUGGCAGAGACUUUACGGACAGGCAGGCUCAGACAGAAGCCACUAAAGCUGAGCCCCGAUGAAGCUCUGUGUUUAGAGCUUUAUCUCGGGCACAUGUGACAGUAAUUUAAAGAUGAUGGCACUGAAUGAUAAAGAAGUAGGAGCUUUGCUCCCAGUUGCAUGUGAGGUGGAGAAUUUAUUUUGGUGCACAGGCGUCUGCAUAUUAGAAAUACGUCUAAUGUUUUUAACUGCUCGACUUUGAUUUUCUGCCUUUACUUGUGUAAUUGGGAAAUGCAAUCGAAGUGUGUCUCCGUCAGGCAGCACCUCACACCCAUUAUCUCACUCAGUUCCCUGCUGUCCCCAAGACGUGUUGGAGACACUGAGGUGUUGAUGGCGUGGGUUGUUUCUGGUUUUCAGACUGUAUGCUCUGUUCUGUAUCAUGUACCAUGGUCAUGUACUUACCGUCUUCGUUAUAGUUGGUUUUCAGAAAUAGUCAUUUCUGAGGGAACAGACAGACCUCUCCUUUUUGAACUCACUAAAAGCACAUCGAUAUUCUCCACAGAAGACUUCCUCUUGUAGAUCUGUGUCUAGGAAGAACUCUGCCAUCUAGUGGGCAAGUUGAACAGACACUCAAAAGAAAAAACAAAACAAAAAAACCCCACCCAAAUGUGUCCACAUGAUCAGCAAACACCAUGUCUGCUAACUUCAUUUGUGAUCACAAAAAUCAAAACUAAACCUGCAAAAUAGCAUCACCCAUGCACAAGGUGCUCACGGAGAUGAGGGUUACAGUGUGCGUGCUGGGCACCUGUACUCAGAAACCAUGCGUGUUGCUGGCAGGAAUUAAAACACAGAAAACUUUCUGGUAUUAAGUACUAGAUGAAGGUGUGCAGAUGCUAUGGCCCAGGUGACUCCUUGACGUACAGCCAGUGAGGCCAAAA